UCAAAGAUGGAACUUCUACUGCAGAGCUGAGCGCAGCUGUCGACUGAGGAAUCGGGACCUCCAAAGAGUCGACAACUCUUAGAUCCUUGCUCGAAGUAGACAUUGUAGAACUUCCUGAGAUUGAAUCCUUGACUUAAAAACUCUACCUAUUGAUUGUUGAGGGAGGAGCAGUAUCAACACAGACGGCCAUCAGACAAGGCUGAGGAAUCGCAGAGCUAUCUUUACU
rnacentral:lncRNA from 1 species